UAAUUUAAUUUCUAUGAACAAAAAAUAAAUAAUUAAAUUGUGGAGGACCCCUUGUUGGUCAGGGCCUGUAGAAUUGUCAUCACUUUUCCCCCAAUACCGCACCCCUGCCUCAUAUAUAUUAAUAAUGACAGUCAUUAGUAGGGUUUUAGCUGUGCAAAACAGUUCUACAGAUGAUUUCCAUUGCAUCCUGCUUCUUGUCUCUUCCAUAUCUGUCCAUAAUGGAGGGAUUCACCUGGUUGGCUGCUCCACGACAAAAUGUCAGGGAGGAAAGAAUUCUUCACCAGAGUUGUUACUCAUCAGUCUGGAUCCAUUUCAGUAUAGGAUUAUUUUCAAGCGAUUCAAAGUUUGUCAGUAUAAGAAAAGAUAUGUUGUCAGGUUUGGUUUCCACUGUUGGAACGGAGUCUAAGGGUGCAUUGAUUACAGCCCUGUUUAAUCUGCUUUAAAUUAACCUCUGUUCAUUUGCCUAGAAUGUCUGAUUCAUUUGAAUGAGUAAUCAAACUCAGACCAAAAGAGUGAACUCUGGUCCGCCUACCAACCUAGGCCUCGGUUCAGUUGAAGCGAACUCUGGUGCACUUUGAAUGCAUAUGUGGAUGCAAGCCGACCAGAAAUGCGCUCCAAAAAGAGAACAUGGACUGCAACA